CCUACGGGUGGCAGCAGUGGGGGAUAUUGCACAAUGGGGGGAACCCUGAUGCAGCGACGCCGCGUGGGUGAAGGAGUGCUUCGGCAUGUAAAGCCCUAUCGGCAGGGAAGAAGCAAGACGGUACCUGACUAAGAAGCACCGGCUAACUACGUGCCAGCAGCCGCGGUAAUACGUAGGGGGCGAGCGUUAGUCGGAUUCACUGGGUGUAAAGGGAGCGUAGACGGCCAUGCAAGCCAGGGGUGAAAGCCCGGGGCCCAACCCCGGGACUGCCCUUGGAACUGUGCGGCUAGAGUGCGUGAGGGGCAGGCGGAAUUCCAGGUGUAGCGGUGAAAUGCGUAGAUAUCAGGAGGAACACCGGCGGCGAAGGCGGCCUGCUGGACUGCGACUGACGUUGAGGCGCGAAAGCGUGGGGAGCGAACAGGAUUAGAUACCCUAGUAGUC
rnacentral:rRNA from 1 species